UUUCUCCCAUUCUGUGUUUUCACUUUCUUGAUGGUAUUCCUUGAAACACAAAAAUUACGAAUUUUGAUGAUACCCAAUAUAUCUAUUUUUCCUUUUGUAACUUGUGAUUUUGGUGUCAUAUCCAAGCAGCUAUUGCUUACUCUAAGGCCAUGAAUAUAUAUUCUUAUGUUUUCUUCUAAGAGUUUUAAGAUGUAGCUGUUCAUUUUAGGUCUUUGGUCCAUUUUGAGUUAAUUUUUUUUAAAUUUUAUUUAUUUACCUUUUCUUUAUUUAUUUUUGGCUGCGUUCGUUCUUUGUUGCUGCACAUGGGCUUUCUCUAGUUGGGGCGAGCGGGGGCUAUUCUUCAUUGCAGUGCGCGGGCUUCUCAUUGUGGUGGCUUCUCUUGUUGCGGAGCACAGGCUCUAGGCACUCGGGCUUCGGUAGUUGUGGCUCUCAGGCUCUAGAGCAUAGGCUCGGUAGUUGUGGCUCAUGGGCUCUAGAGCGCAGGCUCAGUAGCUGUGGCACACGGGCUUAGUUGCUCCGUGGCACGUGGGAUCUUCCCAGACCAGGGCUCGAACCUGUGUCCCCUGCACUGGCAGGCGGAUUCUUAACCAGUACGCCACCAGGGAGCCCCAUUUUGAGUUAAUUUUUGUCUGUGCUUCAUUCAUGUGGCUCUUCAGUUGUCUCAGCAUCAUUUGUCGAAAAGAUUAUUCUUUCUUCCAUUGAAUUGUGUGCACUUUUCUUGAUCAAUUGACAAUAAAUGUGUGAAUUUAUUUCUGGACUCUCACUUCUAUUCCCUUGACCUAUAAAUCCUAUGCUACUGCUACAAUGUCUUGAUUAAUGUAGCUUUGUGGUAAGUUUCGAAAUCCUCCAACUUUGUUCUUUUUAAACAUUGUUUUGGCCAUUCUGGGUCUUUUGCAUUUCCAAACAAAUUUUUGAGCCAUCUCAUGUGUCUGUCGCUCUUGCUAAAAAUAAAGAGUAAUGGAAUCUCACAAAUAAAUGAAUGAUUGAAUGAAUGAAUGAAUUUGUGCCACCAAAAAAAAAAAAAGGGCAUCUGAGAUUUUAGGGAUUGUGUCGACCCUAGAGAUCACUUUGGAAAGUAUAGCUGACCUUUGAAAACCACGGGUUUGAACUACACAGGUCCACUUACACAAGGACUUUUUCAGCAGUAAACACUGCAGGGCCACAUGAGCCAUGGCUGGUUGACUCCUUGGAGGAGAACCACAGGCGCAGGGGCUGAGGGUGCGGUUACACGUGGAUUUCUGACUGCAUGGAGGGUAGGCUCGGUAGGCUCGCCUAAACCCUGAGAUGUUCAAGGGCCACGUGUAAUGUCAUUUUAAUCUUAAAUUUUCUAAUUAGUGAACUUAGAAUAUCUUUUCAUUUGUUUAGGUUUUCUUUAUAUUUUCUCUGUGUUUUGUAGUUUUCAGUGUACAAGUUUUGCAUUUAUUUUGUUAAAUUUAUUCUUAAAUGUUUUAUCCUGUUUGAUGUCGUUGUAAAUGCAGCUGUUCUCUGAAUGUCAUUUUUGGAUUGUUCAUUGCUAAUGCAUAGAAAUACAACUACUUUUCUUAUGUUGGUCUUAUAUCCUGAAACCUUGCUGAACUCACUUAUUAGUUUAAUAGUUGUAUGUGUGUGUAGAUUUCUUAGGAUUUUCUAUACACACUCUCAUGUCAUCUGCAAGAGAAAGCUGUAUUUCUUUCUUCGCAAUUUGGAUUUCUUUUAUUUCUUUGUCUUGCCUGGGUGCUCUGGCUAGAGCCUCAGUACAGUGCCAGAUAGAGCUGGGGAGAGCAGACAUCCUCGUCUUGUCCCUGAUCUGAGAGGAAAAGCUUUCAGUCUUUUACCACCGAAUGUAAUGGUAGCUGUUUUUUUUGUAGAUGGCCUUGUAUCAGGUUGAGGAAGUUUCCUUAUGUUCUUAGUUUGUUGAGUGUUUUUGUCGUGAAGGGAGUUGAGUUUUUGUCAAAUGCACUUUCUACAUCUAUUGAAAUGAUCGUGUGGUUUUGGUCCUUUAUUCUUUUCGCAUGGUGUGUUACAUUGUUUUCCGUAUGUUGAACCGCACUUGCAUUCAUGGGAUAAAUCCCACGUGGUCAGUUUCAGUAGUCUGUAUAUUUCUAGGAAUUUGUCCAUUUCAUCUAGGUUAUUUGUUAUCGUUUGUUGACAUAACAGUUGUUCAUAGCAUUACUUUAUAGUCAUUUUUAUUUCUGUAAGGUUGAUAGUAAUGUCUCUUCUAUCACUCCUGAUUUUAGAAAUCUGAGUCUUCUCUCAUUAAUUUUCUUGGUUAGUCUAGCUAGAGGGUUAUCAGUUUUACUGAUCUGUUCAAAGUUGUUUUUCUCUAUUAUUUUUCAAUUUUUACUUAAUUUCCACUCUAAUGUUUAUUAUUUCCAUUGAGUUGCUUUGUGUUUAGUAGUUUUCAUUCUUUUUCUAGUUUCUUAAGUGGAAGUUUAGCUUAUUGACUUGAGCCCUGUCUUCUUUGUAACGUAGGUGUUUACAGGUAUGGAUUUCCAUCUAAGCACUGCUUUAGCUUCAUCCCGUACGUUUUGGUAUGUUGUGUGUCCAUCUUUAUCUCAAAAGUAUUUACUAACUUCUCUUGUGAUUUCUUACUUUACCCACUGUUUAUUUAGGAGUUGGUCCUUUAAUUUCCACAUCCUUGUGAAUUUCCCAAACUUCCUUGUGUUAUUUGAUUUCUCAUGUCAUUCUGUGUAGCCAAAGAACAUGUUUUGUGUGCUUCCAGUUCUUUAACAUUUGAGACUUCUGAUCUGUCCUGGAGAGUGUUUCAUGUGCAGCUGAGAAGAUGAGUAUUCUGCUGCUGCUGGGUGUUCUGUCAGGUCUAUAGCUGGUUUAUAGUAUUGUUUAAGUCUCCUUUUCCUUAUUGAUCUUUACCGCAGCAGUUAAAUCCGUUAUUGAAAGUGGGGUAUUGAAAUCUCCAGCUGUUAUUGUUUAAUUAUCUGUUUCUCCCUCUCUGUCAGUUUCUGCUUUGUGUAUUUUAGGGCUCUGUUAAGUGCAUAUAUGUUUAUACUUCUUAUUUCUUCCCGAUGGGUUGACCCUUUGCAGCACAGCCUUCUCUAUCUCUAGUACCAGUUUUUGCCUUAAGGUCUCUUUUGUAUGAGUUAGCGUAGCUUCUGGUUGUUUGCAUGGCCUAUCCUUUUCCAGCCUUUCACUUUCAUCAUAUCUCUGAAUUUCAAGUCUUAUGGACAGCAUAUAUUUGAUCAUGUUUUUAUAUCUGUUCUACCAAGUCUCUGCUGCUUGAGUGGAGUGUUUAAUCUACUUACCUUUAAUGUAAUUGCUGAUAAGGUAAGAUUUAUGUCUGCCGUUUUUCUGUUUUUCUACAUAUCUUUUUAAAUCUUUCUCCCUCUGUUACCUUUUUUUCUUGUGUGUUAAAUGGCUGUUUAAUUCCCUUGUAAUACUUUAAUUCCCUUGUCCCUCUACCACUGUUUUUUAAGUAAUUUUUUUCAGUGGUUGCUUUGAGGAUUACAAUGAACAACUUAAUACAAUCUAGUUUGGAUUAAUAACAACUUAAUUUCAGUAAUGUACAAAAACUGCUCCAUUAGAGCUCUGUUUCCUUCCAGCUCUUUUCUGCUGUUUUUGUCAUACAAAUUGCAUCUUAAUAGAUUGUAAGCCCAUCAACAUAGUUUUGUAAUUAUUGCUUUAUGUAGUUGUCUUUUAAAUCAGAUAGGAAAAGAAAAGGUUUACAAACACAAGCACAUUUAUACUGUCUUUUAUCUGGCUCUGUAGUUCCCUUUCCCAGUGCCCUAAUUUCUCUUUGAGGAUUUGAAUCUGGUAUCUUUCACUUCAACCUGAAGCACUCCCUUCAGUGUCUCUUGUAGGGCAGGUCUGCUAGCAGUGAAGUCUCUUCAUUUUUGACUCUCUGGGAAUGUCUUCAUUUCUCCUUCGUUUUGAGGAAUAGUUUUGCUGGAUGUAGAAUUCUUGGUUUAACAGUCUUUUUCUUGCAACACUUUUUUUUUUUUUUUUUUGGCGGUACGCGGGCCUCUCACCGCGGUGGCCUCUCCUGUUGCGGAGCACAGGCUCCGGACGCGCAGGCUCAGCGGCCAUGGCUCACGGGCCCAGCCGCUCCGCGGCAUGUGGGAUCCUCCCGGACCGGGGCACGAACCCGUGUCCGCUGCAUCAGCAGGCGGACUCUCAACCACUGCGCCACCAGGGAAGCCCUCUUGCAAGUCAUCCCACAACCUCGUGGGCUGCAGGGUUUCUGGAGAGAAGCUAGCUGUUAGUCUGGAAAGGUGGCUUGAACACGAGUUGGGUUUUUAAUUGCUACUUUCAAGAUGCUCUGUUUGUCUUUAUGCUCCGUUUUAACCACGAAGUGUCUAGUUAAGGUCUCUCUGUGUGUGUCCUGCUUGGAAUUUGUUGAGCUUCUUGGUUGUAGAGAUUGUUUCUCAUCAAACUUGGCCACUGUUUCUCCUGAGAUUCUUUCUGUCCUGUUCCCUCUCUCCUCUCCUCUCCAUCAUGUAUACACACUUGGUUGAUGGUAUCCAUUGGCCUCUGAGGCCUGUUCAUUUUUCUUCGUUCUUUUUACUGUGUCUCAGACUGGACCUGUUGACGUAUCUUCAAGGCAGCUUAGUGAUUAGCUAAUGAUUGGACAGAGAUUUCCUUAAAUGCUUUGAUCCAGUGAGUCUGGUGGUUUCCCGACUAGCUGUGUGUGCGUGUGUCUGUGUUGGGCACACCUUCAGCGCUCUGCCAGCCGGUUGCUGACUCUGCCUUGGCUCUCACUUGAUGAAUGUUUUGGUCUUUGCUCCAUGAGAAAGUAGCGUGUUAUAGUUUUAAUUGACGUUUCUCUUAGGAGUGAGAGCAAGCAUUUUUCAUAAUGUUAAAGCAUUCAUUGUUUAUCCUUUUGUGUGAAUUGUAUUCCAUACCCUCUGCCCAUUUUUCUGUUAGCUUAUUGGUUUCUUAUUAAGCUGUGGGAGCUCUUCAUUCAGUAACGAGCUGUACAUGGUGAGUCACGAAUGUUUCCUCAUUUUAUCUCUGACUUUGCUUAUGUUGUUUUCGCCAUGUAGAUUUUUUAUGCAGAUGAAUUUAACCAACCUUUCAUGGCUUCUGCUUUUGUAUUCCUUCCCCACUCAAAGAUUGUACCAAAAAAUUCUUCCAUCUUUUCUUCUAGUACUUUUAUAGGUUGCAUUUUCAUGUUUAAGUCACUGAUCUACUUAACAUUUAGUCUGAUAUAAAAUAUGGCUCUGGAAAUUCAGUUUUUUAUUUUAAAUACCCAUCCAGGUGUCCCAACACCAGUAAUGAAUUCACUUGUUUUUGCAAAUUUAAAAUACUGCCUUUAUCAUUUAUUGAAGUCCCUGCGUACAGUGGUUCUAUUUCUGAACGUUGUUCUAGCUCAUCAACUCGUCUGCCUGUUUAUAUAUCAUCAUACUGUUGUACUUACUGUGCCUUGGUAGUACAUGCAUAUGUCAAAGCCUCUUGUGUUUCUGUUCUCUGUUGUAUAACUUCAGGUGAAGUUACAUAACUAGUGUUUCUAUAAAAUUUAAUUCAUGACUGA